rnacentral:lncRNA from 1 species
AAAAAGGGGUUCUUCCAAGUGAACCCUAAACUCACAAAUUGGAUCAAAAUCAAGGGAAAUCAAGCCAAGAUUUUGGGGCUUUAACUAAAUUCGUGAUCACCAAGCUUAGGAGAUCACAAGUUGACUCUAAACAAGCUAGGUGGGAGCUUGGAAAGGAACGGGUCAAACGGAUCAUGGAUGCGAAGAAUGUUUGCGCAGACGCGAGGGUAAAACGGCUUAUGGAAUUUACGUGGCUAUGAAUCAGCAAAUUAUUAAGGCAAGGUAUUAAAACGGGUCAAUACUUUGACCCGGGCCAGGUACGCGUAAAUUUGGUGGAAGAUAUAUGAAUACCUUAAUGUAUAAAAAUGACAUGUGAAAGUAGAGAGUGGGACUUAAACUUAAAUGAUUAAAUCCUCUCUAACGGGUCAAAAUGAAUUACGCGCGUAACUUGGGUGUUCGCCGCGUAAUUCACAAAACUUAUGAAUCCAAGAUAGGUAUGUUGAGUUAAAUACCUUGGUCUAAGAAUUUUGAUUAACUAGAAACAAGUUUCGAGGUCUUAAAUACAAACGGGAGAUCAAACGGAUACGCGGAUUGAAAGAUACGAAAGUUUUCGUGUCAAAAACGGUAAAAUGGGAAUGGCUGAUUGUAACACCCCGAAAAUAUAAAUCUUUAUAUUAAAAAUUUAAAAGUAUAAAUAAACAAGAGUCAACCAACUAGGAAUUUUAACCUAGUUAAUUACAAGUCUUGAAAUAACUCUUAAUAGGGUUAAAACACUUAAACUUAAAGAUAAAUCAAAGUUGAGGGUCUAAACUUGUCAAAAUUGAAACAUAAGUUACUAAUAGUAACAAAAACAAACCAAACACCCCAAAAUUGGGGGUCUGGUCAAACAAAGGGCAGGGGGCGACCAAGGGAUUGUCUUCAAACCCUAGUUUCACAUCAAAUCUCUAAAUUGGAGCUUCAAAUCUGCCCUAAAUCAAGUUUUGAACACAAAUUAGUGAUCCCCUUGUAGUAAGGAUCAUAAAGGUAUGUAAAAUUUUGGUAUUUUGUUCCAUCUUGAAUCUUAGGUUAAAUAGGAGAAACUGAAAUUUAGCCUAAAUAUGUGAUGCAUGAAUGAAUUUGAAGUAAUAUGAUGUCUAGGGUUAGACCCUAGAUGAUUAUUUGUGAAAAUCAUUGCAUGAUACUUGAAGAAUUUAUAAUCACCAUUGUAGGUGAUUUAUGAUAUUGUAAAGACUAGACAAGCACUAGGAUUAUGAUUUCUAAUCUAGUUAAAAGCUGAACUGUAUGAUGAAAUUCAGUAAUUUGAAUGUUUAAGUGUGUAAAAUUUGCUAAAUUGAAGUGAAUUUAGAUGUAAAUAACAUGCCGAGAACCUAGUAAUGUUUUAUGUAGAAAUCUGAUCACUAGGUGUUUGUAGAAACGCCUAAGUAAAGGUCAAAGUGUUAGUAAUCGGACAAAACGCAGAUUUGAUUUCAGAAAUAUAUUGUCCGUUAUUGAGUAUAAAAGAGUUCUAAAUUUGAUAUGAACGGAACUCUUUAGGUAAAGAAUCCGGGUCAUCAAGUGGACAAGCUGGGGGUGAUACACGCUUAAAGGGUGCGCUUUGAAGGUACGACUCGUGGUCAUGGAUGUUGAUCAAGCGGGGUGCAAGAACGGAACACAUAUUUUGAAUGCUUCCGCGAUUAUCUAUUCAAGCUAGAUGUUGAUGUUGUUUUUGAAACAUUGUUAAAUAUUAUGUUUUAAACUAGUUAGUACGUUUGUCACUUAUUAACUUAACUUCGUAAAAACCAAGAAAACAUGUUU